rnacentral:rRNA from 1 species
UACAUAGGGUGCAAGCGUUGUCCGGAAUUAUUGGGCGUAAAGAGUUCGUAGGUGGUUCGUUACGUCGGAUGUGAAAUCCCCGGGCUUAACCUGGGAACUGCGUUUGAAACUACAAGGCUAGAGUGUAGCAGAGGGGGGUGGAAUUCCACGUGUAGCAGUGAAAUGCGUAGAGAUGUGGAGGAACACCGAUGGCGAAGGCAGCCCCCUGGGUUAACACUGACGCUCAGGCACGAAAGCGUGGGGAGCAAACAGG